UUCCACGUGACUCCUCCUGGGGCCUCCGUCAAAGGGAAGGCGGGGAACACCAAGUGGGUUCGUGCCUCUCGCUUUGUGACUAGACCAUGGGACUGAACCACCCGGUUUGGCUCGGUGACUCAGCCCUGUGUCUGCUACUCGUCUGGAGGUCACCUGGGAGCUGUCCUGAUUAUCAGAUCUAUUAUCGCUGUCCUUGCCUCCAGGUCCAGGAGGCCAGAGGAUGGUAUCGAAUUCCCCGGAAGUGGAGUUAUGGGAAGUUGUGAGCCAUCAUGGGGACGCUGAAAGUCGAACCCAGGUCCUCUGCAAGGGCAGCAAGGGCUCUUAACCGCCGAGCCAUCUCGCCAGUCCCUAAGAGAUUUCGUGUUGUGUUUUUUUUUUUUUUAACAUCCUGAACUUUGAGCUGAUGUAAACGUGUUCAAUAAAACCACAGGAGUCCAUUGCUUCACGCCAAGCCCGGAAAGACUAGACUAUAAUUGAAAGAUGGUAUGACUCACAGCAGCACAUACCUUCAAUCUUUAGUUCCCCUUCAGAGAAACAAACAUGAAGGAGGCUUCUUUUCAAAGAAGCAGUUUUUCAAUGCGCACACCGAUGAAGUUCCUUCGGGGUUUCAUACUUUCACAACCAACUAAGCCAACCAACCAAUCAACAAACGAAAAAAGAUGAAACAAAACCCCCAAAUUAAACUAACCAAAUUCGUUUUUGACCCUGUCUGACAAAGAAAAGAACUGAAACAACUAAACUACCUUCCCUUUCCUUUUGAGACAGGGUCUCGGUCUGUGUCCCAGAUCGGUCUGGAGUUCUAGAAGGUCCAGGAUGCAUAGUCCAGGGUGGCCUGAGUCCCUUUGCGCCAACAGCCUGAGUCCAGGGAUCACAGGCAUGAACACCAGUGCCACACUCACUGUUCCUUACUCCAUUCCUGGUUUUCUGCCCCUAGAUAACUAUGUCCUUCCCCUUGGAACAUUUACUUUAUUUUGAGAAGUGUCUGACUCUAAAACAAAAAGUUUGUCCAACUGAAGACCUUUAA